rnacentral:rRNA from 1 species
GCCCGGUGACCUAGUUUAACGGCCGCGGUAUCCUAACCGUGCGAAGGUAGCGUAAUCACCUGUUUUUUAAUUGAAGACCUGUAUGAAAGGCAUCACGAGAAUCGUACUGUCUCCUUUUUCCAAUCAGUGAAACUAAUCUCCCCGUGAAAAAGCGGGGAUAUAAAUACAAGACGAGAAGACCCUCUGGAGCUUAAGAUAAAGUAACGUUUUGUACUAUCUUAUCCCACCUAUUUAUUUAAACACUUACAUUACAAAUCUUCGGUUGGGGCAACCGCGGAGUAAAACUCACCCUCCAAGCUGAAUGGAAUUUUCCUAAACAAAAAGACACAGCUUAAUGUAUCAAUAAAUUGACAUCAUGACCCAAUAUUUUGAUUAUCGAACCAAGUUACCCUAGGGAUAACAGCGCAAUCCACUUCAAGAGUUCAUAUCGACAAGUGGGCUUACGACCUCGAUGUUGGAUCAAGGUAUCCCAGUGGUGCAGCCGCUACUAAUGGUUCGUUUGUUCAACG